GAUGAACGCUGGCGGCGUGCCUAAUACAUGCAAGUCGAGCGAACGGACGAGAAGCUUGCUUCUCUGACGUUAGCGGCGGACGGGUGAGUAACACGUGGAUAACCUACCUAUAAUACUGGGAUAACUUCGGGAAACCGGAGCUAAUACCGGAUAAUAUCUUGAACCGCAUGGUUCAAUAGUGAAAGACGGUCUUGCUGUCACUUAUAGAUGCAUCCGCGCUGCAUUAGCUAGUUGGUAAGGUAACGGCUUACCAAGGCAACGAUGCAUAGCCGACCUGAGAGGGUGAUCGGCCACACUGGAACUGAGACACGCUCCAUACUCCCACGGGAAGCAGCAGUAGGGAAACGUCCGGAAGGGGCGGAAACCUGACGGAGCAACGCCGCGUGAGUGAUGAAGGUCUUCGGAUCGUAAAACUCUGUUAUUAGGGAAGAAAAUAUGUUUAAGUAACAGUGCACAUCUUGACGGUACCUAAUCAGAAAGCCACGGCUAACUACGUG
rnacentral:rRNA from 1 species